UACAGAGGUCUCAAGCGUUGUUCGGAUUCAUUGGGCGUAAAGGGUGCGUAGGCGGCGCGGUAAGUCGGGUGUGAAAUCUCGGAGCUUAACUCCGAAACUGCAUUCGAUACUGCCGUGCUUGAGGACUGGAGAGGAGACUGGAAUUUACGGUGUAGCAGUGAAAUGCGUAGAUAUCGAGAGGAACACCAGUGGCGAAGGCGAGUCCCUGGACAGGUCCUGACGCUGAGGCACGAAAGCUAGGGGAGCAAACAGG
rnacentral:rRNA from 1 species